rnacentral:lncRNA from 1 species
CCGUGAUCGGAUUUCUUUGUGGCUGCUCUUCUUUCUUACUGAUUGAUGACUCUUUCUAUAGUCGAAGGUGGAAUACAAAACAAGGAAGAGAAGGAUAGCUAUAGGUUAAGAGGUUCAAAUUUUUUAAUAUUUUAUUUUUAUUAAUAAUUAAUUAUUUAUUUAUAUUAAAUGUAAUUAUGUAAGAUUGAUUGAUGUGAAAUUUGCAGAAAGAAAAAUUUUUGAGGUAUUAAUAUAACGUGAGGUUUGUAAUUUUUUACCUCUUGUUAAACAUUAGAUUUGUUGUUUUAUAUUUAUAUAUUUAUGAUGUCAUUUAUGUAUAGAUAUUUGUUUGUUUAAAUUUAUUUUUUUAUUUUAAUAUUAAUAUCUAUGUUUUAUAUUAAAUACAAUCAUAGGGGGUUAAUAGAUGACUCUUAUAAUUGAAGAUGGAGAUAUAAAAUAAAGAAGAUAAAAAAAAUUGUUGGUUUGAAUGUUUGAAUUUUUUAUAUAUAUAUUUUAAUUUUUUAAUUAAUAUUUAUUUAUUUAUUUAUAUUAGAUUCGAUCAAGAAUGAUUGAUGAAAAAUUUAUAAAAAGAAAAAAAAUUUAGUAAUUUUUUUUAAAGUAAUAUGAUGUGAAGUAUGUAUUUUUUGAUUUUUUUUGUUAAUGUUUAUUACCUAUUGUUAGAUCUUUUAAUUAUAAGUUGUGUUUUGUUGUUUCAUUAUUUAUAUAUUUAUAAUUUUAUUUAUGGAUGAAUAUUUGUUUUAUAGCAGAUGGUGGACAUAAAAAAAAUAAGAGAAGGUUAGCUAUGGGUUUUGAGGUUUAAAAUUUUUUAUUUUUAAAAUUUUUUAUUAAUAUUAAGUUUGCAUUUUUUGAUGUUUGUUUCUUGUUGAUAGGUGUUCUAACUAUGAGUUGGAUUUAUUAUUUCAUCAUUUAUAUAUUUAUAAUUUCAUUCAUGUAUAAGCAUUUGUUGUUCAAAUUUUUUAUUUUUUUAUUUUGUUAUUAAUAUUUAUUAUUCUAUAUUAAAUGCAAUCAUGCAAGUUGAUCGAUGACUUCUUUUACAGUCGAAAGUGGAGAUAUAUGAAAUGAUGUGAAUAAUAUUACCUUUGUACUACUACCAAACCCAAAGUGCAUGAAUUGUGCCUGGGCAUAAUAGUGAUUGAUAUUAAGAAUAAAUGAAGAUAUAGUUGAAUUAUGAAAUUUUGGUACCUUGGUCAUGUUCAUCUUAAGAGUGAAUUAAGGAGUGCAUGCGUAACUAUACUAAAUUUGGCUACUGGAUUUGUGAUAGUGUGAAAGUUCAUGAUGAAAAUAGUAAGCUUGUAAAAGUUAGACCAUUAGAGUGAUGUCUUUUUGAGGCCUUUCGCAUUUCAAAAUGGAAACGGAGAUGGAUGGUUAUAGAUUCUAUAUAUACGCAAACUAGAACCCAAGAAAGAGAAAUGAUGGCAUUGGAAUGAAUAGAAAUAAGUAAACUUGAAAUGAUGUUACAAAUCUUGCACAAUAUAUGGUUGGUGGAAAUGGAAAAUAUUGUUCUUUAAUAAUGUCACUAGGAACAUAGGUGUCUUGACUUGCCACAAUGUGAUAUUUUUAGAAUGAUCAUCACUAGUUUGGUUUUCAAAUCAAACACUUUGUCAAAGGUUUGCAAGGAUGGUGGUAACAUUUUUCCUAUAAAUGAUUCAAUAGUUAUCAUUAAACAUCACUGGGUAGGGAUGGUGGUAAGCAAGCGCAAUGGUCAUUGUCUUGCUUGUGAUUCUUGCAUGCACCAAUUGUGAUAAAGAGAAUUGAGAUUGGGCAACCAAUGAUAACUAAGCCCAUAGUGUAUUGCACUUUUAGAUGUCAUUGAGUAUAGGGUAGUGGAAUGUCUUGAGAAGACAAGUUGAAGAACCCAAUCCAAGAGAAAAACUUUUGUAUAUGCAAUAUGAUGUAAUCAAAUGAGUGAUGAGUAGUUUAGAAAAUUCGAGGACGAAUUUUCUUGAGAAGGGAGAAUGAGAAACCUUAACUUUUCAUUUGAAUGGAAUUUGAUGAAUGUUGAAUAUUUAAUGAGCUAUAUUUGAUUGUGUUAUUGGAUGGGCUUUCCCAACCAAUUUUCUUUAAAUUUAUCUUUCAUAUGGUGUUUUAAUUAUGGAAGUUUUUAGACUUAAAAUAGCUUUUGGAAGUAAGGAGGAUCGACUCUUGAAAGAGAAGGGUUGAUCCCUAGAAAACAGGACAAAAUAAAAAGCCCUAACUUAAUCUUUACUUCUUAUUUUUCAUUUCUUAAGCCUUCAUUCACUCUCUAAUAGCCUCAAAACCACUUUUACAACCAUUCGAUAUCCUAUUUAGCAAGGAAUCAACUUUCUAAACUCGAAUCUAAGGUGAGAUUUAUCAUUUUCAUGUUUUGGAAACCAUGGGUUUAACCUAACACCUUUUUGUACGAAUUCGAACUCAUUUAAUCCUUCAUUAAACUCGAAUCUAAUUGCCCUUGAACCAAUUGGAUUGGUCAACAAAUAUAUAUUACCAUUUAAUACAUAUUUAAUUACUUAACUAUAUGUGAUAGAGGUUUUUUUUCAUAUUAGUACAAUAAUAAGAAAUUAUUAAGUGUUAAUUGGAUUAAGCCCAUGGAACAUAUAAGUUUUGCAAGAGAAUUGUAAAGUUGUUAUAAUUAUGAGAUCUUUAUGCAUCAAAGUCAUGUUUCUAAAAUAAUUUUUGAUUAUUGUAUUGUCAACAUAGGGUAUUGACAAUGCUCAAAGAUUGAUACAUGUUAAGUUUCUUUACUUGAGAAGUAAGUAAAAGAUCUUAUAAAUUGAAGUAUAUGAGAUACUUAAGGAUGACAUGUGGGUGCUUAUUAGAGAACAAAUUUACUGAACAUGACCCACUGUGAGAACCCCAUUUGGUAUUUCACUAAGAUGUCUAUGGAAUAUGUUCUUAUGUUACAGUCAUGUUAUCAAUCCUUGAACUUGAGAUCCCAAGUCAUCUUUUAUGAGGAAAGACAUUUAGAUUUCACUUUUAUGGGUUUGGAGGCGAUUAGAUGUCUAAACAAAGUCUUUUUAGGUGUGCCGCAAGGCAUGCUAAGGUGGAUGAGUUAUUAAGAGAGGAUUUAACGCCUUAAGUGAUAUGAGGAGAUAUAUCUCACUUGUUCUCAACUUUAAAUUAACUUAUAUAAAGUCUUUGGUCAAAACAUAAUGAAUUUGAGGAAAGUUAGUUUCCUAAAUUCAUAAGGUUAGUCAUGAAUUACAAAAACUAAUAUGGAAUGUCAUAAGUAGACACUGAGUCAUGCUUUAUGACAUUUGAUAUAUUUGAUAAAAGGACCGUAUUGCAUUGAGAGACUUAUCACUAAAUGUUUUUGUCAAAUUUUUUAAUUGACUGUUUAAUAUUUGAGUUGUCAUGAUGUGUUGUUAAAUAUCGCUCAUGAUCUACAAAUAUAAAUUAAUUAAUAAAUUGAUAUUUGAUUAUGAUUUAUAUUUAUUACGGACAUGUUAGAAGCGUAAUGGGUCACACACAUUAAGUGACAUGAUUGAGAUUAAAGAGAGAUAAUUAAUUCAGUUAGACUUGAUUGAAAUAGAUCAAAAUAAAGUGAAAAAUAUAAGUUCACAAAGACUUAAAUUGAAUAGAAAUAAAAAUGUUGUAUCUAGGGUUACAACUUAGUUUGGCUAUAUAAAUAUGUUAUGUUAAGCAACUAAAACUUGAAGCUUUAAGCCACUUUUUAGCAGAUUCAUAAAAUAAGAAAAGAACAAUAAAUUUUUUGUCCGACAAAAAUAAGGUUUGGCUAGGGUUUUUGGUUUUUGUUUCUUUAAAAACAAAACUUGCAAUAGAACAAGUAAAAUAAAUCUUAUCUCUGAGAAGGUCUUAUUUGUUUACUGUAUGGAUUAUCGUUAGAGGCUAAACACUUGGGUGGCGGAAGAUUUAACAAAUCUUAAAAGUGAAGAAGCAAAGAUUUCAACUGUAAGAUUUCAGAUUGUUUUAUUCUCUUUGUGGGUUUCUUACUUCCUCAAAAGCUUUUUGGAUUUCAUUAGCUCUCGAGUACGAUAUUUGGAGCAAG